AAAGAGGAGAGUGAGAGAUGGAUGGAAAGACAUGGCAGAAAGAGGAGAGUGAGAGAUGGAUGGAAAGACAUGGCAGAAAGAGGAGAGUGAGAGAUGGAUGGAAAGACAUGGCAGAAAGAGGAGAGUGAGAGAUGGAUGGAAAGACAUGGCAGAAAGAGGAGAGUGAGAGAUGGAUGGAAAGACAUGGCAGAAAGAGGAGAGUGAGAGAUGGAUGGAAAGACAUGGCAGAAAGAGGAGAGUGAGAGAUGGAUGGAAAGACAUGGCAGAAAGAGGAGAGUGAGAGAUGGAUGGAGUGAGUAUAUCAGAGAGGGAGGGAGAGAAAGUUCCAGGGCUGCAGUAACUGUACAUGAACAUGUGACCUGACCAGGAACAAAUCUGGGCCUUACACUCCUGGCCCUAAACAUAAACCAUGUAAUCAUCCCACUAUGGUGCUCAACUCUUUUUCCCAGGUGCCAUUGCAGCAGUUCUGCUGCAACCUCAGAAUACAACGCUAGGUUAGUGCUGAAAUUAGGAAGACAAAACCUAGAAAAACUACAACAUUAAAGUCUUGAGUCAGCUGGACUGAUUCCAAACAUUGUGCGGACCACAGAAUAUUAAAAUGUGCAUACUUUUUAUCUUUGGUUGUGAAUUAUAGGGGUGGUUACAUGGACCUAUAUUUAGCCUAUGAUUGGAGUUACUCCAUUUUCAAUGGCGUGUCUGCAAUGCAAUUGAACGUCCUUUGAAAAUGUGUUGUAGUCUAAGAGAAUGCUUGAAUAUGGGUUUGUGAAACAGCCCAAUAAGGGUACCAGUCAUUUUAAGCUUUUCUUUCAGUGUCUCGAGGUCCAACAGCGCCAACAGCGCCAGUGAGGGGCGAUGCAUUGAUGUGACCCAUAUGCUUUUCAUUUGUAACCGAAGAUCCUUGCUUGCUUUUUGUGUUCCCCUUACAAAAUAUAAUCUAUUAUCUUGUUUGUAUUUAUUUUCUUUGUCAAAUGGUUCCAUUCUGUCCGUAAGCGUUAACUAAAGACUUAAGUUAUGUAUAUGUAAAUAAUGUAGAGGUUUUAUGGGUCUCCUUUUUGUUGUUGUAUGAAUACUCUGAAACAUGUUACACCUACUGGCUGUACUUUGCAUCAGGUCAGUUUGAGGUCUUCUGUACACAAGUCAAAAACAUGAUCAUAAACAAAUACUAUAUAACGUGAUGUCAGGAAAAGUCCAUUUCCAGCAGGAAUGAGGAUGAUAAUGAUGAGGGUGAUGAUGUGGAUGAAUAGGAUAUGGGUGGUAGUAAUACUGAUGAUGGUGAUGAUAAGGCAGAUGUUGAGGAUGAAUAGGAUAUGGGUGGUAGUAAUAUUGAUGAUGGUGAUGAUGAUGAUGAUAAGGCAGAUGUUGAGGAUGAAUAGGAUAUGAGUGGCAGUAAUAUUGAUGAUGAUGAUGAUAAGGCAGAUGUUGAGGAUGAAUAGGAUAUGGGUGGUAGUAAUAUUGAUGAUGAUGGUGAUGAUGAUAAGGCAGAUGUUGAGGAUGAAUAGGAUAUGGGUGGUAGUAAUAUUGAUGAUGGUGAUGAUAAGGCAGAUGUUGAGGAUGAAUAGGAUAUGGGUGGUAGUAAUAUUGAUGAUUGUGAUGGUGGUGAUAAUAAGGCAGAUGUUGAGGAUGAAUAGGAUAUGGGUGGUAGUAAUAUUGAUGAUUAUGAAAAUUAUGAUGUCCGAACUAUAAUGCUGACUGAUGAAGUUGAAUCCAGUAGUUUUUCUAUGUGUUUGUAAGAUAUGACCCCUGAUCUCAGGGCAGAAUAUUACCUACUACUGCCCCUUGUGUGGGGCUAUAGCUAAAUGAACUUUUCUAUCUCUGUAAAAGCUAUUGGUCACAUUGUACAUUAUGUGGAAAGCUACAUAAAGUAUACAAAGACUACAUCCGUUGUACGACGCAUUUAUUUAUUAUUUAUUGAGCUUGACCUACAUAUUUGCAUAUGCAAUUAAUCAUCCAGUUUAUCAGUAGAUAAUAUGCUGAAAUGUAUAUUUUAUUAAACUUAGUAGGUCAUGGAUCAAAGGUUAUUAAGUUCUUAAUUUAUGUUAAUCAUCUAAGUACCAACUGUCAUGGGUAGUAAUUAUUUAAAUAGACUUUAGAUACAAUAUUUGCCUGUUUUUUAUAUGGUGG
ensembl:lncRNA